rnacentral:rRNA from 1 species
UACAGAGGUGGCAAGCGUUGUUCGGAAUUACUGGGCGUAAAGGGCGCGUAGGCGGCCUUCUAAGUCAGACGUGAAAUCCCCCGGCUUAACCUGGGAACUGCGUCUGAUACUGGAGGGCUUGAGUAUGGGAGAGGGAUGUAGAAUUCCAGGUGUAGCGGUGAAAUGCGUAGAUAUCUGGAGGAAUACCGGUGGCGAAGGCGGCAUCCUGGACCAUUACUGACGCUGAGGCGCGAAAGCGUGGGUAGCAAACAGG